rnacentral:tRNA from 1 species
GCCUUCGUGGUGUAGUGGUCUGCAUGAUCGACUCGUAACCGAGAGGUCCGUGGUUCGAUUCCCGGCGAAGGCG